AUGAACGCUGGCGGCGUGCCUAAUACAUGCAAGUCGAGCGAACAGAUGAGGAGCUUGCUCCUCUGACGUUAGCGGCGGACGGGGGAGUAACACGUGGAUAACCUACCUAUAAGACUGGGAUAACUUCGGGAAACCGGAGCUAAUACCGGAUAAUAUAUUGAACCGCAUGGUUCAAUAGUGAAAGACGGUUUUGCUGUCACUUAUAGAUGGAUCCGCGCCGCAUUAGCUAGUUGGUAAGGUAACGGCUUACCAAGGCGACGAUGCGUAGCCGACCUGAGAGGGUGAUCGGCCACACUGGAACUGAGACACGGUCCAGACUCCUACGGGAGGCAGCAGUAGGGAAUCUUCCGCAAUGGGCGAAAGCCUGACGGCGCAACGCCGCGUGAGUGAUGAAGGUCUUCGGAUCGUAAAACUCUGUUAUUAGGGAAGAACAAAUGUGUAAGUAACUAUGCACGUCUUGACGGUACCUAAUCAGAAAGCCACGGCUAACUACGUG
rnacentral:rRNA from 1 species